GUGCCAGCAGCCGCGGUAAUACGUAGGUGGCAAGCGUUGUCCGGAUUUACUGGGCGUAAAGGAUGUGUAGGCGGAUAUUUAAGUGAGAUGUGAAAUCCCCGGGCUUAACUUGGGGGCUGCAUUUCAAACUGGAUGUCUAGAGUGCAGGAGAGGAAAGCAGAAUUCCUAGUGUAGCGGUGAAAUGCGUGGAGCGUAGGAAGAAUACCAGUGGCGAAGGCGGUUUGCUGGAAUGUAACUGACGCUGAGGCAUGAA
rnacentral:rRNA from 1 species